CACGAGUUUGAUCAUGGCUCAGAACGAACGCUGGCGGCAGGCCUAACACAUGCAAGUCGAGCGAACCCUUCGGGGUUAGCGGCGGACGGGUUAGUAACGCGUGGGAAUAUACCCUUUGGUACGGAAUAGCCUCGGGAAACUGAGAGUAAUACCGUAAUGUGCCCUUCGGGGGAAAGAUUAUCGCCAAAGGAUUAGCCCGCGUUGGAUUAGAUAGUUGGUGGGGUAAUGGCCUACCAAGUCUACGAUCCAUAGCUGGUUUGAGAGGAUGAUCAGCAACACUGGGACUGAGACACGGCCCAGACUCCUACGGGAGGCAGCAGUGGGGAAUCUUAGACAAUGGGCGCAAGCCUGAUCUAGCCAUGCCGCGUGGACGAUGAAGGCCUUAGGGUUGUAAAGUCCUUUCAGAUGGGAAGAUAAUGACGGUACCAUCAGAAGAAGCCCCGGCUAACUCCGUG
rnacentral:rRNA from 1 species